rnacentral:rRNA from 1 species
ACUACGGGGUGCAGCAGUGGGGAAUAUUGCACAAUGGGGGAAACCCUGAUGCAGCGACGCCGCGUGAAGGAAGAAGUAUUUCGGUAUGUAAACUUCUAUCAGCAGGGAAGAAAAUGACGGUACCUGACUAAGAAGCCCCGGCUAACUACGUGCCAGCAGCCGCGGUAAUACGGAGGGGGCAAGCGUUAUCCGGAGUAACUGGGUGUAAAGGGGGCGUAGGCGGCGAUGCAAGUCAGAAGUGAAAGCCCGGGGCUCAACUCCGGGACUGCUUUUGAAACUGUGUUGCUAGAUUGCAGGAGAGGUAAGUGGAAUUCGUGGUGUAGCGGUGAAAUGCGUAGAUAUUAGGAGGAACACCAGUGGCGAAGGCGGCUUACUGGACUGUAAAUGACGCUGAGGCUCGAAAGCGUGGGGAGCAAACAGGAUUAGAUACCCGGGUAGUC